ensembl:lncRNA
ACAACCUAUGCACAGCAGGGGAGAAGGCAGUGGCGCCCACUCCAGCACUCUUGCCUGGAAAAUCCCAGGGACGGAGGAGUCUGGUGGGCUGCAGUCCAGGAGGUCGCACAGGGUUGGACACGACUGAGCGACUUAGCAGGAGCAGCAGCAUGCACAGCUUCCCGGGUGGCUCAGCAGUUGAGAAUCUGCUUGCCAGUGCAGAAGACUCACGUUUGAUCCCUGGGUCGGGAAGAUCCCCUGGAGAAGGAAAUGGCUACCCGCUCCAGUAUUCUUGCCUGGAGAACCCCAUGGAUAAAGGAGCCUGGUGGGCCGCAAUCCAUGGGGCCGCCAAAGAGCUGGACACAGCUGAGUGACUAAAGAACAAUAAAGUGUGUAUACGCUAAUCCCAAGCUCCUAGUUUAACAGGUUCUGUAAAACUCUCUAUAACCUGGCCUGCACCGACCUCUCUGAUCUUAUCAGCUGUCUUCCCUCCCAUUCCCCUCAGCUCACUGAACUUUACAUUCUCAGAGCUCAU